rnacentral:rRNA from 1 species
GCCAUGCCGCGUGCAGGAAGACGGUCCUAUGGAUUGUAAACUGCUUUUAUACAGGAAGAAACACCGCUACGUGUAGCGGCUUGACGGUACUGUAAGAAUAAGGAUCGGCUAACUCCGUGCCAGCAGCCGCGGUAAUACGGAGGAUCCAAGCGUUAUCCGGAAUCAUUGGGUUUAAAGGGUCCGUAGGCGGCCUUAUAAGUCAGUGGUGAAAUCUCCUAGCUCAACUAGGAAACUGCCAUUGAUACUGUAGGGCUUGAAUUAUUAGGAAGUAACUAGAAUAUGUAGUGUAGCGGUGAAAUGCUUAGAUAUUACAUGGAAUACCAAUUGCGAAGGCAGGUUACUACUAAUACAUUGACGCUGAUGGACGAAAGCGUGGGUAGCGAACAGGAUUAGAUACCCUGGUAGUCCACGCCGUAAACGAUGGAUACUAGCUGUUCGGAGCAAUCUGAGUGGCUAAGCGAAAGUGAUAAGUAUCCCACCUGGGGAGUACGAACGCAAGUUUGAAACUCAAAGGAAUUGACGGGGGCCCGCACAAGCGGUGGAGCAUGUGGUUUAAUUCGAUGAUACGCGAGGAACCUUACCAAGGCUUAAAUGUAGAUUGACCGGUUUGGAAACAGACUUUUCGCAAGACAAUUUACAAGGUGCUGCAUGGUUGUCGUCAGCUCGUGCCGUGAGGUGUCAGGUUAAGUCCUAUAACGAGCGCAACCCCUGUUGUUAGUUGCCAGCGAGUCAUGUCGGGAACUCUAACGAGACUGCCAGUGCAAACUGUGAGGAAGGUGGGGAUGACGUCAAAUCAUCACGGCCCUUACGCCUUGGGCCACACACGUGCUACAAUGGACGGUACAGAGAGCAGCUACUGGGUGACCAGAUGCGAAUCUUCAAAACCGUUCUCAGUUCGGAUCGAAGUCUGCAACUCGACUUCGUGAAGCUGGAAUCGCUAGUAAUCGGAUAUCAGCCAUGAUCCGGUGAAUACGUUCCCGGGCCUUGUACACACCGCCCGUCAAGCCAUGGAAGCUGGGGGUACCUGAAGUCGGUGACCGUAAGGAGCUGCCUAGGGUAAAACUGGUAACUAGGGCUAAGUCGUAACAAGGUAGCCGUACCGGAAGGUGCGGCUGGAACACCUCCUUUCU